UACAGAGGUCUCAAGCGUUGUUCGGAUUCAUUGGGCGUAAAGGGUGCGUAGGCGGCGCGGUAAGUCGGGUGUGAAAUCUCGGAGCUUAACUCCGAAACUGCAUUCGAUACUGCCGUGCUUGAGGACUGGAGAGGAGACUGGAAUUUACGGUGUAGCGGUGAAAUGCGUAGAUAUCGUUUGGAACGCCAAUGGUGAAAACAGGUAACUGGGAGUGUGCCGACGCUGAGACACGAAAGCCAGGGGAGCGAACGGG
rnacentral:rRNA from 1 species